GGGGCUGUAGCUGAGUGGCAAAGCACCUGCUGUGUGUGCAAAGGUCAUGGGUUCAAUCCCUGCCAUCUUUG